rnacentral:lncRNA from 1 species
CUUCUAAUUGUGUGUGAAGUGCUCUACAGCUGUUUGAGAAAUCAAGGAAUCAUCCUGGCAGUAUCAGUCUCCAACAAUGCAUGUGUGGAUUGGUGCUUAAGUUUCCUUGAUUCAAUGACUAUGCAUAUUUUCUUAAUGUUCCUUCACCUUUAGUAGGAGCAAAUUUUUUUCAGCUAACAUUACAACAAGUCAGCUGUCCUUACUAUUCAGUGUUUUCAUGCAUUAAGCGUGAUAGUGCUUCGAUUGAGAAUAAUAUUAAUAUAGUAGCCUAGAACAGCAGAAGCACAUUCAUCUGUAAAAUAAUUAGCCUUGUUUGUAAAUAUCCUUGGAAGUGAUACCAUAAUUGUAUUAAAGAAAUGUUUAGUUUUUUAUUGCUGUGCAUUGAAAAUUGAAAUUACUUCAGUGUGUCUGCAAAGAAAGAAAAUGUAGAUUGUGUUAGCACCUAGUAAAACAAAGAGUAACCUUGAUACCCAGCGUGUGUGUAGUUUGGGGCCAGGUACUGUACCUGGGGCAGCAUUUAUCUUCUUCCCAGUGCUGAUGGGGUUUGCGAGGAACAGAACAUCAAUUUCCAAUAUGAGCUGAACAGGUUUGUUCAUGGGGGUAGGGAAAACAUUUUAAGUGGAAGCUGCAAGUCCUUGUCCAGGCAGUCCUGACCAGUUCAUCAGCGAGGAAGUGUUCGAUUCAGAAGUUCAUCUGACUAUGGAAAAAGGCAGUAGACACUCAGUAUACCAUUGCCAGUUUAUUUAACCUGAUUUAUGACUGCUGGGAGAAUGGAAUUUUAAAGCCAAUGAUGUCAGCUUUGUCUGCAUGCCAGUGGAGAUCCUUUAGCACAAAGCUUUCACUUCUCACCCUGACCCAUUCACAACAGCUAGCAGCGGAGACUUCCUUCAGGAAACCUUUUAUCUGUCUUGGACUCAUGACUUGCAGUUCUGGGAAUGUGGAGGCUGCAGCUGAAUCAAGCCAAAAUGUGAAUGUUUGGAGCACCUUCAUCACAGGAGGACUCGCGCACUGCUGAGAGCCUACAGCAGGAGUUACAGGGCUGUGCCAGCCCUGCAGCAUUCUUUAACACGAAACUGGGAGGCCAGCCCUGGAAAGGGAAAACGCAAGAGCCAUCCAAAUGGAACUGUUCAGAGGAGAGUUUAAUUUAAUUGCUCCGCUAAUCUAGUUGAUAUCUUCAUGCUACUUUAAUUCUGUUCUGGGGUGCGAGUGUUGUAGCUGGCUGACCACGCGGUCAUCAGGCUGAACGAAAAGCAAAGUUUAGUUUUAAUCUUUAGUUUCCGGAUUUUUCCUUUGAGACUUCGUUCAUGGGAGGGUCUGACAAAGUUGCUGUGAAUAUUGAUGCUGUGUAUAUGGCACAUUUUGUAAACGUGAAGCAAACCUGGAUGAAUGUUUUGUAUACCACGACAGUAGCAUUGUAAUCCUGCUCCUUUUUUAUUCUAAAUAAAUAAAUAAAGUACUUGUUUGUAAUGUCUGUAUUUUGAGGGACUGAAUUCCUGGGAGGGACAUGGGGUGCCAAGAGCCGGGACUGGCAAGAAACAGCAGCAUAGUUAAGCACUCAGUCCUUCAGCAUGAGACUUCACACUUAAAAAAAAAAAAAAAAAAAAGCUUAAUAAUAAAAAUCUCACUGUGGCCACUGUCACAGGACACCGGUGGUAAAGCCUGAGAGAGGACCUGGGGUCCGAUACUGCCCUUCAGCCCCACAACCAUUCCCUUCUCCUCGCCAGCAUAGGUUCAAUCCCUCUUUUCCCUGGCCUCCCAAACCGCUGCAUGGCAGCACUCCAGCUCCAGAAAACAAUUCUGCUAAAGAACCAACUUUCUUUGAUGAAAGUGGCCUGAUAUCACCUUUUCUUUUCUUCCGUAGAAUCAAACAGUUCUUGUUGCAGAAAGAGGAGAGUAACCCAGGAGAGCCUGCUUGUAGAAGGGAAUAGACAAUUUUCUGUACGAAUUACGUAUGACAAGGCAAGAGUUACCUUUCAGGUUCAGUUUUGGCAACCGUGACACAGACGGGCAGUUACAGUUCACCACAGUUAGAACCACAGUUCACUCCUACUUAAGAUCAACUCGGCUCCAGCUGCCCCUCUGGGAAGCAGAACUGAGGCACAGGAACCUGCCCAGCCUGUCUCUGCUCUAAACCAAACCUUAAGGACCUGUACGAACGCCUUCCUGGCCCUGCCUUCAUUAGAGUCCCGCAGCUUCUACAGCACCUUGUGAAC